AUUGAACGCUGGCGGCAGGCUUAACACAUGCAAGUCGAGCGGAGUGAUGGUGCUUGCACUAUCACUUAGCGGCGGACGGGUGAGUAAUGCUUAGGAAUCUGCCUAUUAGUGGGGGACAACAUCUCGAAAGGGAUGCUAAUACCGCAUACGUCCUACGGGAGAAAGCAGGGGAUCACUUGUGACCUUGCGCUAAUAGAUGAGCCUAAGUCGGAUUAGCUAGUUGGUGGGGUAAAGGCCUACCAAGGCGACGAUCUGUAGCGGGUCUGAGAGGAUGAUCCGCCACGCUGGGACUGAGACACGGCCCAGACCCCUACGGGAGGCAGCAGUGGGGAAGAUUGGACAAUGGGGGGAACCCUGAUCCAGCCAUGCCGCGUGUGUGAAGAAGGCCUUAUGGUUGUAAAGCACUUUAAGCGAGGAGGAGGCUCUUUUGGUUAAUACCCAAGAUGAGUGGACGUUACUCGCAGAAUAAGCACCGGCUAACUCUGUGCCAGCCGCCGCCGUAA
rnacentral:rRNA from 1 species